UAGACCAAUGAUGAAAACUGGUGGCAUAGGAAUCCUCCCUGGUUGAGUGCUAUAUGUCUGUAACUCCGAGUCCAC
ensembl:snoRNA small nucleolar RNA SNORD113/SNORD114 family